ACGAUUAAGUGUCGUAAGGGCAUUUGGUGGAUGCCUUGGCAUGCACAGGCGAUGAAGGACGUGAUACGCUG
rnacentral:rRNA from 1 species